GGCGUAAGGGCUCGCAGGCGGUUUCUUAAGUCUGAUGUGAAAGCCCCCGGCUCAACCGGGGAGGGUCAUUGGAAACUGGGGAACUUGAGUGCAGAAGAGGAGAGUGGAAUUCCACGUGUAGCGGUGAAAUGCGUAGAGAUGUGGAGGAACACCAGUGGCGAAGGCGACUCUCUGGUCUGUAACUGACGCUGAGGAGCGAAAGCGUGGGGAGCGAACAGGAUUAGAUACCCUGGUAGUCCACGCCGUAAACGAUGAGUGCUAAGUGUUAGGGGGUUUCCGCCCCUUAGUGCUGCAGCUAACGCAUUAAGCACUCCGCCUGGGGAGUACGGUCGCAAGACUGAAACUCAAAGGAAUUGACGGGGGCCCGCACAAGCGGUGGAGCAUGUGGUUUAAUUCGAAGCAACGCGAAGAACCUUACCAGGUCUUGACAUCCUCUGACAAUCCUAGAGAUAGGACGUCCCCUUCGGGGGCAGAGUGACAGGUGGUGCAUGGUUGUCGUCAGCUCGUGUCGUGAGAUGUUGGGUUAAGUCCCGCAACGAGCGCAACCCUUGAUCUUAGUUGCCAGCAUUCAGUUGGGCACUCUAAGGUGACUGCCGGUGACAAACCGGAGGAAGGUGGGGAUGACGUCAAAUCAUCAUGCCCCUUAUGACCUGGGCUACACACGUGCUACAAUGGACAGAACAAAGGGCAGCGAAACCGCGAGGUUAAGCCAAUCCCACAAAUCUGUUCUCAGUUCGG
rnacentral:rRNA from 1 species